rnacentral:rRNA from 1 species
AAUCCUGGCUCAGGAUGAACGCUAGCUACAGGCUUAACACAUGCAAGUCGAGGGGCAGCAUGGUCUUAGCUUGCUAAGGCCGAUGGCGACCGGCGCACGGGUGAGUAACACGUAUCCAACCUGCCGUCUACUCUUGGACAGCCUUCUGAAAGGAAGAUUAAUACAAGAUUGCAUCAUGAGUUCACAUGUUCACAUGAUUAAAGGUAUUCCGGUAGACGAUGGGGAUGCG